UACGUAGGCAGCAAGCGUUGUUCGGAGUUACUGGGCGUAAAGGGUGUGUAGGCGGUUGUUUAAGUUUGGUGUGAAAUCUCCCGGCUCAACUGGGAGGGUGCGCCGAAUACUGAAUGACUUCGAGUGCGGGAGAGGAAAGUGGAAUUCCUGGUGUAGCGGUGAAAUGCGUAGAUAUCAGGAGGAACACCGGUGGUGUAGACGGCUUUCUGGACCGUAACUGACGCUGAGGAGCGAAAGCGUGGGGAGCGAACAGG
rnacentral:rRNA from 1 species